UACAGAGGGUGCGAGCGUUGUUCGGAAUUAUUGGGCGUAAAGGGUGCGUAGGUGGUGCGGUAAGUCGGAUGUGAAAUCUCCGAGCUCAACUCGGAAAUGGCAUUGGAAACUACCUUGCUCGAGGGUUGGAGGGGGGACUGGAAUGCUUGGUGUAGCAGUGAAAUGCGUAGAUAUCAAGCGGAACACCAGUGGCGAAGGCGAGUCCCUGGACAACUCCUGACACUGAGGCACGAAAGCUAGGGGAGCAAACAGG
rnacentral:rRNA from 1 species